GACGAACGCUGGCGGCGUGCUUAACACAUGCAAGUCGAACGGAAAGGCCCUGCUUUUGUGGGGUGCUCGAGUGGCGAACGGGUGAGUAACACGUGAGUAACCUGCCCUUGACUUUGGGAUAACUUCAGGAAACUGGGGCUAAUACCGGAGAGGAGCUCCUGCUGCAUGGUGGGGGUUGGAAAGUGUCGGCGGUUGGGGAUGGACUCGCGGCUUAUCAGCUUGUUGGUGGGGUAGUGGCUUACCAAGGCUUUGACGGGUAGCCGGCCUGAGAGGGUGACCGGCCACAUUGGGACUGAGAUACGGCCCAGACUCCUACGGGAGGCAGCAGUGGGGAAUAUUGCACAAUGGGCGGAAGCCUGAUGCAGCAACGCCGCGUGCGGGAUGACGGCCUUCGGGUUGUAAACCGCUUUCGCCUGUGACGAAGCGUGAGUGACGGUAAUGGGUAAAGAAGCACCGGCUAACUACGUG
rnacentral:rRNA from 1 species